AUGGCUCAGAUGAACGCUAGCGGCAGGCUUAACACAUGGCAAGUCGAGGGGUAUAGUUCUUCGGAAUUAGAGACCGGCGCACGGGUGCGUAACGCGUAUGCAAUCUACCUUCACAAGGGAUAGCCCAGAGAAAUUUGGAUUAAUACCUUAUAGUAAUACGACUUGGCAUCAAGAUGUAUUUAAAGAUUUAUCGGUGAAAGAUGAGCAUGCGUCCCAUUAGCUUGUUGGUAAGGUAACGGCUUACCAAGGCAACGAUGGGUAGGGGUCCUGAGAGGGAGAUCCCCCACACUGGUACUGAGACACGGACCAGACUCCUACGGGAGGCAGCAGUGAGGAAUAUUGGACAAUGGGCGCAAGCCUGAUCCAGCCAUGCCGCGUGCAGGAAUAAGGUCCUAUGGAUUGUAAACUGCUUUUAUACAGGAAGAAACACACCCUCGUGAGGGUACUUGACGGUACUGUAUGAAUAAGGACCGGCUAACUCCGUG
rnacentral:rRNA from 1 species